CGGGAUAGCUCAGCUGGUAGAGCAGGGAUGAA
rnacentral:tRNA from 1 species